AUUACUCCUUUCUGUUUCACAUCUUAAAAACGCAGUGGUAAGCAACGCUGUUGAGGGCGUAUGGACUCGGUCGGCCGUAGGUCAGUGAGCAGCACUGUUAAUUCCUCUAGUCUGGAACGGAUUGUAGACGCAGUUAUCAUUUCAGUCUAUUUAGGCUCGCGAUUUUCCUUCGUUCAAUUUUUCAACUGAAGGCCUUUCACUGAAAAGUGGGUGUCUCCUCACUACUGGUGUUCAGACAGCGGCGAGUGCAGAAGUGUGUCCUCGAUGGCAGGGUGGAAGGACGGCUCGGUGCAGGAGAAGUAUCGACUGGUUGUGGUUGGAGGUGGUGGUGUCGGAAAGUCAGCCCUAACUAUACAAUUUAUCCAGGGACAGCAGGGGAGAGGAUCCAGAGAGUGCAUGUGUUUCUGUUCAGAUAAUCACUUCCCACCAGGAACAGAUUAGAAUACGGCUGCCUGGCCUGGGGCUGUGUAAAURUUCAUGGUCUGCACGGACACAGGGAACAUAUGCCUCCCAUCUCCAAGCUCACACAAAUGACAUCUGCUGGAGGAUCUGUCGCUUGUGUUUACCAGCCUCCCCUCAUUUGGCCCGAUCCAUAGAGUUACAUUGAAACAGGGACUAUCAAAGAGUGACAAGAGGAAAAGUAACGUGUGUCACAUCAUCUUUAACACAAUCUGCUUUGUGUGAACUUUGGUCUGUAACUGUAACUUUCUCACAUAUUGAGCUUUGACUUGGUUGACUGUUCACAUAAGAUAUAGAUGCAUGGGUUCCUCUCAGACCUCUAUCAUCUAUGACAGGGUUAGACAGCCCUGUUCCUGUAGUCCCGCAUGUACGGCAGGAUUUUGUUCCAACUAGGCACCACACCUGACCAAUUGAGCUAAUUAAACAGUUCAGUGCCUAAAUUCAACACACCUAGUUUUUCAGGUCAAUUAAAUCAAACACAUGAAGUUCCUCCAGGACCAGGGUUGUCUACCCCUGAUCUAUACUGAAUACAAAUAUCAGCGCAGCAUGUAGAUUGUUGGUCCCAUGUUUCAUGAGCUGAAAUAAAAGAUCCCAGAAAUGUUCCAUA